AUUGAACGCUGGCGGCAGGCCUAACACAUGCAAGUCGAACGAGUGGCGGACGGGUGAGUAAUGUCUGGGAAACUGCCUGAUGGAGAGGGAUAACUACUGGAAACGGUAGCUAAUACCGCAUACCAUCAGAUGUGCCCAGAUGGGAUUAGCUAGUUGGUGGGGUAACGGCGCACCAAGGCGACGAUCCCUAUCUGUUCUGAGAGGAUGACCAGGCACACUGGAACUGAGACACGGUCCAGACUCCUACGGGAGGCAGCAGUGGGGAAUAUUGCACAAUGGGCGAAAGCCUGAUGCAGCCAUGCCGCGUGUAUGAAGAAGGCCUUCGGGUUGUAAAGUACUUUCAGCGGGGAGGCGUUACCCGCAGAAUAAGCACCGGCUAACUCCGUGCCAGCAGCCGCGGUAAUUC
rnacentral:rRNA from 1 species